CUCUGACUGCAGUCAGGCCAAGGACCAGGGAACCUGCAUCUGUUCACUAGGGCCAAGCACAUCUGCAAAAAAGACAUUGCUGGAGGAGGUGCAAAGAGCUGGAAACCAAGUCUCCAGUCCUGGGAAAAGCAGUGGUAUGGAAAAGCAAUGGAAAGAGCAUUUUGAAAAUGCCAUUCCACUGUUUUCUGGCCUUUAUGAUUUCUGCUGAGAAAUCCACUGUUAGUCUGAUGGGGUCUCCUUCAUAGCACCAAUGACCUGAAGAGCCUUGUUGAAGGAAGACUCCAUCUGAUGACUCAGAGCAAGUAUUUUUUAGUGUGUUAUUGUUAUUAGCAGAAAGAGGGCCAUAAAAUACAUGGGGCAAGCUGAAUAUAUCUUAGGCAAAAGAAGAAAAUAUUCAAAUUCUUAUGUUAUUUUAUCUAAUUAUUUUAUCUCUUUUUGUGUGUGACUUAUAAUGUGUGUAUUGUAUUAAUAAAAGUAUAUAAACAUGUAGUUUACAAAUA
ensembl:lncRNA novel transcript